rnacentral:rRNA from 1 species
GACGAACCGUGCGAACGUUAUUCGGAAUCACUGGGCUUAAAGCGCGUGUAGGCGGGACGGCACGUCGGUCGCUGAAAUCCCCCGGCUUAACCGGGGAACCGGGCGGCGAUACGACCGUCCUGGAGGGGCGUAGGGGGACCUGGAACUUCCGGUGGAGCGGUGAAAUGCGUUGAGAUCGGAAGGAACGCCCGUGGCGAAAGCGAGGUCCUGGACGCCUACUGACGCUGAGACGCGAAAGCCAGGGAGCGAACGGG